GGAGGGUGCGAGCGUUGUCCGGAUUUAUUGGGUUUAAAGGGUGCGUAGGCUGGGAGGUAAGUCAGCGGUGAAAAGCACACGCUUAACGGGUGUCUUGCCGCAGAUACUACUUUUCUUGGAUGAGGAGGAGGUCACUGGAACGGAUGGUGUAGCGGUGAAAUGCAUAGAUAUCAUCCAGAACACCGAUUGCGAAGGCAGGUGACUGUACCUUAAUCGACGCUGAGGCACGAAAGCGUGGGGAGCGAACAGGAUUAGAUACCCUGGUAGUCCACGCCGUAAACGAUGAGGACUAGCUGUUGGGCCUAUAGGGUUCAGUGGCAAAGGAAAACCGUUAAGUCCUCCACCUGGGGAGUACGCCGGCCACGGUG
rnacentral:rRNA from 1 species